AAACCAUGAUUUGGAGACCUCAUCAAGUAUUGUUUGAACCUCUCCCAUGCUUCAAAAAUUUAUUCCACCGAUGUUUCUUGAAGUAGAAAAUCUUGUCUCGAAGUUC